rnacentral:rRNA from 1 species
UACGGUGGGUGCAAGCGUUAUUCGGAAUUACUGGGCGUAAAGCGCGUGUAGGCGGGAAGGUAAGUCUGAUGUGAAAGCCCCGGGCUCAACCUGGGAAGUGCAUUGGAUACUGCUUUUCUUGAGUUCUGGAGAGGAUGGGGGAAUUCCCGGUGUAGAGGUGAAAUUCGUAGAGAUCGGGAGGAAUAUCAGUGGCGAAGGCGCCCAUCUGGACGGCAACUGACGCUGAGACGCGACAGCGUGGGGAGCAAACAGG